rnacentral:lncRNA from 10 species
UCUUACCUUACCAUUGCAUAUAUAAUGUGUGCUUUUUUUUUUUUUUUUUUUUUUAACAGCUGUUGAGCUAUUGCUCUUCUGUGAUAAAAUCCCGUAGAAGAUUUAACCUGCUAUGGAUUUCUGGGAGGUCACAGGGCUAAGUAAACUCGGAAUUUGGGGUAAGCUUUUUCAAACAAAGUCACUGAAUAGAUGUGGAUGAGGAAAAAAGCUUGUGAAAGGCAUCAGGCACUGCAAAC